rnacentral:tRNA from 1 species
UCCGUUGACCUUACAAAGUCGUGAGGGGUUCAAGUCCCUCUAUCCCCA